rnacentral:rRNA from 1 species
CCUACGGGAGGCAGCAGUGGGGGAUAUUGCACAAUGGGGGAAACCCUGAUGCAGCGAUGCCGCGUGGGCGAAGAAGUAUUUCGGUAUGUUAAGCCCUAUCAGCAGGGAAGAAGAAAUGCCGGUACCUGAGUGAGAAGCACCGGCUAAAUACGUGCCAGCAGCCGCGGUAAUACGUAUGGUGCAAGCGUUAUCCGGAUUUACUGGGUGUAACGGGAGCGCAGGCGGCACGGCAAGCCUGAUGUGAAAGCCCGCGGCCCAACCGCGGGACUGCAUUGGGAACUACCGGGCUGGAGUGCCGGAGAGGUAGGCGGAAUUCCUAGUGUAGCGGUGAAAUGCGUAGAUAUUAGGAGGAACACCAGUGGCGAAGGCGGCCUACUGGACGGUGACUGACGCUGAGGCUCGAAAGCGUGGGGAGCAAACAGGAUUAGAUACCCUGGUAGUC